rnacentral:rRNA from 1 species
AUCGCCACCCAAUUGGGCGCAUGCAUUGAUGCAAUGCGAACGCCGCAGUAGCGAGGAUGUAGGGCUUUCUGGCUGGUAAUCUUCGUUUCAGUCAUGCGACGAAAGGUUUUCUUGUGACGGUACAUGCAAGCAAGAAAGGCAUCCGGCUACCUAACGUGACAGCAGCACGCGGUUAAUCCGUACGGGUGCGAGCCUUGUCCGGAAUUAUUGGGCGUAAAGAGCAUCGUAGGUGGUUUGUUGCGUCGUCUGUGAAAUUCCCGGGCCUUAACUCUCGGGGGUGCAGGGAGAUACGGGCAUAACUUGAGUCCGGUAGGGGGAGACUGGAAUUCCUGGUGUAGCGGUGAAAUGCGCAGAUAUCAGGAGGAACCCCGACGGCGAAGGCAGGUCUUUGUGCAGUUAUUUACGAUGAGGAGCGAAAGCAUGGGUAGCGAUCAGGAUUAGAUACCAUGGUAGUCCAUCCCGUAAUCGGUGGGCGCUAGGUGUGGGGGUCUUCCACGAUUUCUGUGCCGUAGCUAACGCAUUAAGCGCCCCGCAUGGGGAGUACGUCCGCAAGGUUAAAACUCAAAGGAAUUGACGGGGGCCCGCACAAGCGGCGGAGCAUGUGGAUUAAUUUGAUGCAUCGCGAAGAACCUUACUUGGGCUUGACAUAUGCAGGAUUGGCACAGAGAUGUGUUGUCCCUUGUGGUCUGUAUACAGGUGGUGCACGGUUGUCGUCACAUCGUGUUGUGAGAUGUUGGGUUAAGUCCCCCAACGAGAGCCACCCUUGUCUUGUGUGGCCAGCACGUUAUGGUGGGGACUCCCGAGAGCCUUCCGGGGCUAACUCGGAGGAAGGUGGGGAUGACGUCAAAUCAUCAUGCCCCUUAUGUCCAGGGCUUCACACAUGCUACAAUGGUCGGUACAGUGGGUUGCGAUUCCGUGAGGUGGAGCUAAUCCCUUAAAGCCGGUCUCAGUUCGGAUUGGAGUCUGCAACUCGACUCCAUGAAGUGGGAGUCGUUAGUAAUCGCAGAUCAGCAAUUCCGCGGUGAAUCCGUUCCCGGGCCUAGUUCACCCCGCCCGUCUGUCACGAAAGCGGUAACACCCCAAGCCAGCGGCCCAAACUCGUAGGGAGCGUCGUAGUGACCGAUGC